rnacentral:rRNA from 1 species
CUCAGAUUGAACGCUGGCGGCAGGCCUAACACAUGCAAGUCGAACGGUAACAGGAAGCAGCUUGCUGCUUCGCUGACGAGUGGCGGACGGGUGAGUAAUGUCUGGGAAACUGCCUGAUGGAGGGGGAUAACUACUGGAAACGGUGGCUAAUACCGCAUAACGUCGCAAGACCAAAGAGGGGGACCUUCGGGCCUCUUGCCAUCAGAUGUGCCCAGAUGGGAUUAGCUAGUUGGUGAGGUAACGGCUCACCAAGGCGACGAUCCCUAGCUGGUCUGAGAGGAUGACCAGCCACACUGGAACUGAGACACGGUCCAGACUCCUACGGGAGGCAGCAGUGGGGAAUAUUGCACAAUGGGCGCAAGCCUGAUGCAGCCAUGCCGCGUGUAUGAAGAAGGCCUUCGGGUUGUAAAGUACUUUCAGCGGGGAGGAAGGUGUUGUGGUUAAUAACCGCAGCAAUUGACGUUACCCGCAGAAGAAGCACCGGCUAACUCCGUGCCAGCAGCCGCGGUAAUACGGAGGGUGCAAGCGUUAAUCGGAAUUACUGGGCGUAAAGCGCACGCAGGCGGUCUGUCAAGUCGGAUGUGAAAUCCCCGGGCUCAACCUGGGAACUGCAUUCGAAACUGGCAGGCUUGAGUCUUGUAGAGGGGGGUAGAAUUCCAGGUGUAGCGGUGAAAUGCGUAGAGAUCUGGAGGAAUACCGGUGGCGAAGGCGGCCCCCUGGACAAAGACUGACGCUCAGGUGCGAAAGCGUGGGGAGCAAACAGGAUUAGAUACCCUGGUAGUCCACGCCGUAAACGAUGUCUACUUGGAGGUUGUGCCCUUGAGGCGUGGCUUCCGGAGCUAACGCGUUAAGUAGACCGCCUGGGGAGUACGGCCGCAAGGUUAAAACUCAAAUGAAUUGACGGGGGCCCGCACAAGCGGUGGAGCAUGUGGUUUAAUUCGAUGCAACGCGAAGAACCUUACCUGGUCUUGACAUCCACGGAAGUUUUCAGAGAUGAGAAUGUGCCUUCGGGAACUGUGAGACAGGUGCUGCAUGGCUGUCGUCAGCUCGUGUUGUGAAAUGUUGGGUUAAGUCCCGCAACGAGCGCAACCCUUAUCCUUUGUUGCCAGCGAUUAGGUCGGGAACUCAAAGGAGACUGCCAGUGAUAAACUGGAGGAAGGUGGGGAUGACGUCAAGUCAUCAUGGCCCUUACGACCAGGGCUACACACGUGCUACAAUGGCGCAUACAAAGAGAAGCGACCUCGCGAGAGCAAGCGGACCUCAUAAAGUGCGUCGUAGUCCGGAUUGGAGUCUGCAACUCGACUCCAUGAAGUCGGAAUCGCUAGUAAUCGUGGAUCAGAAUGCCACGGUGAAUACGUUCCCGGGCCUUGUACACACCGCCCGUCACACCAUGGGAGUGGGUUGCAAAAGAAGUAGGUAGCUUAACCUUCGGGAGGGCGCUUACCACUUUGUGAUUCAUGACUGGGGUGAAGUCGUAACAAGGUAACCGUAGGGGAACCUGCGGUUGGAUCACCUCCUUACCUUAAAGAAGC